UCUUUAAUAGAUUCAUUUGUCAUUUUAAUUUGUAAGUAAUUAUUGAUUCUUUUUCUUUAGGAUACAGGCUAAACAAGAGUCAAAGAUACCACAGAGGAGAGGUCGAGGUCCUUCCACUGCAGCACCAAGUGGGGUAUAUAAAGCCACACUGCCCGUGAGGGCUGUGACGUGAGUCCACUAGCUGUGAGAGACAGAUGUAUUACAAAGGGAUGGAUUUAGUGCACUCUUUCCUCUCUCUUACUCACAGCCUGAACAGCCAGUGAACGAUGAAACAAAACUUCUUCCCAAGCCUCAACGAGGAUUGUGCCAUGGUUUGAAG